rnacentral:rRNA from 1 species
AGCAGCCGCGGUAAUUCCAGCUCCAAUAGCGUAUAUUAAAGUUGUUGCAGUUAAAAAGCUCGUAGUUGAAUUUCGGGAUCAAUUUAUUGGUCGUGCUAUUGUACGUACUGGUAUUAUUGAUUUCUACCUUCUGACGAACCAUGAUGUCAUUAAUUUGGUGUCUUGGGGAAUCAGGACUGUUACUUUGAAAAAAUUAGAGUGUUUAAAGCAGGCUCACGCUUGAAUACAUUAGCAUGGAAUAACGAAAUAGGACGUUUGAUUCUAUUUUGUUGGUUUCUAGGAUCGACGUAAUGAUUAAUAGGGAUAGUUGGGGGCAUUAGUAUUCAAUUGUCAGAGGUGAAAUUCUUGGAUUUAUUGAAGACUAACUACUGCGAAAGCAUUUGCCAAGGAUGCUUUCAUUAAUCAAGAACGAAAGUUAGGGGAUCGGAGACGAUCAGAUACCGUCGUAGUCUUAACCAUAAACUAUGC